UACAGAGGUCUCAAGCGUUGUUCGGAUUCAUUGGGCGUAAAGGGUGCGUAGGCGGCGCGGUAAGUCGGGUGUGAAAUCUCGGAGCUUAACUCCGAAACUGCAUUCGAUACUGCCGUGCUUGAGGACUGGAGAGGAGACUGGAAUUUACGGUGUAGCGGUGGAAUGCGUAGAGAUCCGGAAGAACACCGGUGGCGAAGGCGGCCUGCUGGGCAGUAGCUGGACGCUGAGGCGCGAAAGCGUGGGGAGCAAACAGG
rnacentral:rRNA from 1 species